AAGAAGAGGCUAGCUAUCACAUGGUCUGAGGGAGAUUCUGAAAGUGAAUCUGAAGGAGAAUCUGCUAAAGAUGUCACUGCACUAACAAGUGUUUGUGCCACUGAUGAUGACUCAAGUGCAGAUGAACUGACCUUUGAUGAACUUGUUACAGCUUAUAAGAAGCUAUGUGUCACUAAUGCAGAAGUGCGUGUACAAGGUGAAAAGCAGAAGAAACU
rnacentral:lncRNA from 1 species